UACGAGUGCCCCAAGCGUUAUCCGGAAUUAUUGGGCGUAAAGGGUCAGUAGGCGGUUUUGCUAGUCUUCUGUCAAAUUCUUCGGCUUAACCGGGGGUCCGCAGGGGAAACGGCAAAACUCGAGGAUGCGAGAGGUGAAUGGAACUCAUAGUGUAGGGGUGAAAUCCGUUGAUAUUAUGGGGAACACCAAAAGCGAAGGCAAUUCACUGGCGCACUCCUGACGCUGAAUGACGAAAGCGUGGGUAGCGAAUGGG
rnacentral:rRNA from 1 species